rnacentral:rRNA from 1 species
UACGGAGGAGGCAAGCGGUAUCCGGAAUUAUUGGGCGUAAAGCGUCCGUAGGUGGUUAACCAAGUCUGCUGUCAAAGGGUGGGGCUUAACCUCAUAAAGGCAGUGGAAACUGGUGAGCUAGAGUGCGGUAGGGGUAAGGGGAAUUCCCAGUGGAGCGGUGAAAUGCGUAGAGAUUGGGAAGAACAUCGGUGGCGAAAGCGCCUUACUGGGCCUGCACUGACACUGAGGGACGAAAGCUAGUGGAGCGAAAGGG